rnacentral:misc_RNA from 1 species
CAGAGGGCAGAGUGCAUGCUG